AUUCUAUAGAACGCCUAUGUAUGAUAAGCGCUUUAUAUAUUGAACCUAUAUAGCGCCUCCCCUGAUUACGCGUUCCAUAUGAUUUAUAUAAAAAAUAUGACUAUAGAUAUAGAUUGCCUUUCUAAGUUAGGCGCUCUAUAUGAUUUUAGAAUAAUUAAAAAAAAGUAAAAAAAAAAAUAGAAAUCUUACCCUAAAAUAAAAUGACCAGCCUCAUAUCUCGCACGCCGCCCCCUCCUCUCCUUUCUCUCUCCUCAUUCUAUCUUCUCAACUCCAUUCCUCUUUCUUUCUCGCUCUUUCUGUCUUCUCAACUCCAUUCCUCUUUCUUUCUCCUCUCCUCUCCUCUCAAACCCCAGGAGGCCAAAUUUGUUUUUUGGUUUUAAAAUCAAGACCAACGCAUGCUUAUGUGUAUCAUUUCCCUCAAAUUUUCAAAGUUAAAUGUGAUUGCAUUUAAUCUAGAUGUGAGAAUUAUAGAUUGAAGAAAUGUGGUGGGUUUGGAUCUGGGUGUGUUCAAAUGAGGUGUUGCUGCUAUGAAACGAAUUGUGAAGUCCAUAAUGCGAUGAUACAUGAAGGUGUUUGGGGAGGUUAUCUAUUUUUGUGUGCUAUUAAUAGAAUUGGUGCGUGGUUGAGAUUGGUGUAACCAAAGCCCUGUUGGUUGGAUACUUGGAUGAUUGCGGUGGUUUCGACUUUGGAAGGCAAUUGAAGUCGAUGCAUUUCUUUAGUUGUUUUUUUUAAGAACAGGAAAAUUUUUUAUCAUUCACAAUAAAUUAGUUAUGUGAGAAACCUUGCAAUGUAAUUUUUUUUCUCAAGGAAUUUAGUUAUAUAUUAUCAU